GACGGAGGAUGCAAGCGUUAUCCGGAAUGAUUGGGCGUAAAGCGUCUGCAGGUGGCAGUUCAAGUCUGCUGUCAAAGACCGGGGCUUAACUUCGGAAAGGCAGUGGAAACUGAACAGCUAGAGUAUGGUAGGGGCAGAGGGAAUUCCUGGUGUAGCGGUGAAAUGCGCAGAGAUCGGGAGGAACACCCGUAGCGAAGGCGGCACUCUGGGCCGGUACUGACGCUGAGGAGCGAAAGCGUGGGGAGCAAACAGG
rnacentral:rRNA from 1 species